ensembl:lncRNA
GCUAAUUGUGUGCUAAAAGUAUAAAUAGGUUUGAGUGUGUAGCCUGGUUCCAGUGCAUCAGCAUGGAGCAGGCUGUGUGGCUGCUGGGUCUCCUGUGUCUGCAGGUCUGUCUGCUCUCCACCACGGCCCUCCCUGGACCAGACAGACGGACGGCAGCCUUGCAAACCAACCAAGCCAUGAAUUCACAGGAGGAAGUAAGGAGUGAAUGCAAGAGAAACAGUGAAAUAUGUCGCUCUCGUAGUGGAGCCAUGGGACCCAUGGGAAUCAAGAUGUGUCUUCAGGGACCCAACAGGAGUUUAAGAACUAAGAAGCAGGUGAAAGUCAAGCUAAACAUCGCAAAGAAAAUGCCACAAAUGCUUCACUCCAAUUCAGGAAGCUUGUCUAGUGUCCAUGCCUAGACCACUCUGUUGGGACCAAGAGGCAGCAGAGGCAGCAGAGGCAGGAGAGGCAGAAGAAAGCCAAGAACAAAUGCAAGAAUAUGCUUCAAAAUGGUGUUGCACGCACUUUGGAGCCACGACUCCAACUUGGCGGCCAGUGGCUCAUGAAGACAAUCACAUAUUCACCCCUUUCUGCUGGCUUAUCAUUAUUAUAAUAUCUGUGUUGGCAUAUUAUUUCUCUGUCUGAUUUUAGACUUCAAAACAGUGUAAAAGUUAUUUCCAAAGAAAAUGGGUUGUUGUUAUUACUGUCUUACUAUUAUCAUUAUUAGUAGUCAUGGUAGGAUCUGUAUAUCACACACUGACAAAGACCAAACCAACAGCCUGGAAAGCCAAGAUCAACUCCCUCUUGUCUGAC